rnacentral:tRNA from 1 species
GUGGUUGUGCCGGAGUGGUUAUCGAGCAUGACUAGAAAUUAUGUGGGCUUUGCCUGCGCAGGUUUGAAUCUUGUUGACCAUG